UACAGAGGUCCCAAGCGUUGUUCGGAUUCACUGGGCGUAAAGGGUGCGCAGGUGGGUUUGCAAGUUCGAUGUGAAAGCCCCGGGCUUAACCCGGGAAUGGCAUUGGAUACUGCAGAUCUGGAGGAUCGGAGGGGGGACUGGAAUUCUUGGUGUAGCAGUGAAAUGCGUAGAUAUCAAGAGGAACACCAGUGGCGAAGGCGAGUCCCUGGACGAUACCUGACACUGAGGCACGAAAGCUAGGGGAGCAAACAGGAUUAGAUACCCAGUAGUCC
rnacentral:rRNA from 1 species